rnacentral:rRNA from 1 species
GACGAACGCUGGCGGCGUGCCUAAUACAUGCAAGUCGAACGCUUCUUUCCUCCCGAGUUCUUGCACUCAAGUGGCAAGCGGAGUGGCGGACGGGUGAGUACCACGUGGGUAACCUACCCAUCAUAGAGGGAUAACACUUGAAAACAGGUUCUAAUACCGCAUAGCAUUUUAUGCCGCAUGGCAUAAGAGUGAAAGGCGCUUUCGUCUGGCGCUGAUGGCUGGACCCGCGGUGCAUGAGCUAGUUGGUGUGGUAACGGCUCACCAAGGCCACGAUGCACAGCCGACCGGAGAGGGUGAUCGGCCACACUGGGACGGAGACACGGCCCAGACGACUACGAGACGCAGCAGUAGGGAAUCUGAGGCAAAGGACGAAAGUCUGACCGAGCAACGGCGCGUGAGUGAAGAAGGUGCUCGGAUCGUAAAACCCUGUUGUGAGAGAAGAACAAGGACGGUAUGAACUGAACGUCCCGUGACGGUAUCGAAUCAGAAAGCAACGGCUAACUACGUG